rnacentral:rRNA from 1 species
UACGAAGGGGGCUAGCGUUGCUCGGAAUUACUGGGCGUAAAGCGCACGUAGGCGGAUCUUUAAGUCAGGGGUGAAAUCCUGGAGCUCAACUCCAGAACUGCCUUUGAUACUGAGGACCUUGAGUUCGGGAGAGGUGAGUGGAACUGCGAGUGUAGAGGUGAAAUCGUAGAUAUUCGCAAGAACACCAGUGGCGAAGGCGGACUCACUGGCC